AGUGAACGCUGGCGGUAGGCCUAACACAUGCAAGUCGAACGGCAGCACAGUAAGAGCUUGCUCUUACGGGUGGCGAGUGGCGGACGAGUGAGGAAUACAUCGGAAUCUACUUUUUCGUGGGGGAUAACGUAGGGAAACUUACGCUAAUACCGCAUACGACCUACGGGUGAAAGCAGGGGAUCUUCGGACCUUGCCCGAUUGAAUGAGCCGAUGUCGGAUUAGCUAGUUGGCGGGGUAAAGGCCCACCAAGGCGACGAUCCGUAGCUGGUCUGAGAGGAUGAUCAGCCACACUGGAACUGAGACACGGUCCAGACUCCUACGGGAGGCAGCAGUGGGGAAUAUUGGACAAUGGGCGCAAGCCUGAUCCAGCCAUACCGCGUGGGUGAAGAAGGCCUUCGGGUUGUAAAGCCCUUUUGUUGGGAAAGAAAAGCAGCAGGUUAAUACCCCGCUGUUCUGACGGUACCCAAAGAAUAAGCACCGGCUAACUUCGUG
rnacentral:rRNA from 1 species